rfam:Oryza glumipatula chromosome 3, whole genome shotgun sequence.
GCGCUUGGCGAAUUCACAGGCCCUAUCUUGUGGUAUGAACUGAGUACGCGAUGAUUUGCACUGCGUAUUGGGGGCUUACCAUAAGAUAAUGCCAUGAAUUUGUCAAGCGU